GCCUCGAUAGCUUAGUUGGUAUAGCGGCCGCCUCGUAAGCGGCAGAUCGAGGGUUCAAAUCCCUCUCGGGGCU
rfam:Thermoplasmatales archaeon DG-70 WOR1_52_54_203, whole genome shotgun sequence.